rnacentral:lncRNA from 1 species
UCCCCCGGGCGGGGCAGGGAUCAUCCCCGGGGCGGAGAUCGCGGAGCCUGAGCUGCAUCCCGCCCGUGGUCGGGCGUUCCGGGAGCACAUCCCGCCCGUGGCCGGGCGGUCCGGGAGCACGUCCCCGCCCGGGGGGAGGGAGGGAGCGGAGCUGUUGAGUCAGCCCAGCAGAGCCGCCUGGCAGAGCGCAGGGAGGCCGAGCCCGGCCAGCUGCCAAGGACGGAAUCGCGGAGCGCAGGGAAAAUGGUCUGAGUAAUAAUCAACGCCUGCCGCUAUGUGGCCAGGAAGAUGAGGACCCUGUGGAGCCGGGAGCGCCGGGAGCCACCGCCCUGCCCGGCACAGGCAGCGCCACAAAGCCAUCGGCAGGAUGUAAAAGCAGAGCUGCCAACACCCCCUGAAGCACCAGCCUCACUCCCCAGCAACAUCAAACCUAUCCAGUGCAGGUCCUGACGAUAAAAGCCCUCGUGGUCCUCCCAUGAAGGCCACGAGAUUUCUUCCCAGUGAUUUUUGCUGGAAAUCCUGAAUCCCAGGGAUUGGAAAAUAUCAGCAAAUCCCUGCAGUAUCUGCUCUCAGCAGCACAUUGAUAGAAAAUGUACUGAUCAGUGUCUCAUGACCAGGAGUUUCUAGUUGGCAGAAAAAAAAAAGAUUUCCAAUGUGUAUUAGAUGCUCCUGGCACCCGUGGGCCAUGGAAUACCAGAGGAAUCCCAGCAGGAAAUUUGAUUUUUAUACUGUGAAACCAAAUUAUGCUCCCAGUGAUAUUGGUACAAAUGCAGACAAUUUCCACAAGAGCGAAAUCAGUUCCUGAGCUGGAGUUUUGGAGCUCAGGUGUGUGGGAAUCCCUUCCAGCACCCAGGUGACGUGCAGCACCCCCAGAGCAGAGGCUGCAGGGACCAGAGCAGGAUGUGCCCCCAGCCCUGCCCUGUCACAGAGCAAUGACAGCAGAACCCCAAACCCCACACGUGUGGGGGGAAUUCUGCCUGACCCCCUCCUGUGACUGCUCAACCAGAAGUAAAGGUGGAUGAAAAUCAGCUGGUUGGGAGUGUGGUGGUUUUCCUUCUGGAACGAGUUUGGUGGCACUGCAGUGCUUGGGAUCCUGCACUGGAAGCAUGGGGGAUAAGGGGAUCCUUCGUUGGGGCUCACUGAUAAGGGAAUCCUUUGUUGGAGGGGGUCACUGAUAAGGGGGUCCUUUGUUGAGAGUCACUGAUAAGAGGAUCAUGUGUUAGGGGUCACUGAUAAGGGCAUCCUUUGUUGGGAGUCACUGAUAAGAGGAUCAUGUGUUAGGGCUCUGAUAAGGGGAUGAUGUAUUAGGGCUCACUGAUAAGGGGAUUCUUUGUUGGGGUCACUGAUAAGGGGAUCAUGUAUUAAGGGUCACUGAUAAGGGGAUCAUGUGUCAGGGGUCACUGAUAAGGGGAUGAUGUAUUAGGGCUCAUUGAUAAGGGGAUCCUUUGUUGGAGG